CCACGAGACCGGAGCCAAGGUCUUGGGCUUCCACUCGAACUUGCAGGCUCCCACGAGGCCGGAGCCAAAGGCCUAGCAGACUUCCACGAGACUGAAGUCAAGAGGCACUCUCGGUGGCUUCCCCCAUCCUGUUUGGUGUGUGCUUGCCUGAAUAAAUGCUUGAAUGCUUGAUUGCAAAGCAUCCACUCUCGACUCUUGGCAUUUGUUCUGGUGACCGGGCUCGGUGUUCGCGAUACCUUGCAGGUUAAGCCAC